CCCGGGCGCCCCCAAGCGGCGCAGUCUCCUGUUUCCAGGUAUCUGCCAGCAGGUGGCUCCACGAGCAGCCAGGAGUCCGGGGAAGGUGCUGACUAACGCCGUGGGGGCGGGGACAGUCCCCAGGGGCAGGGCAGGAGCAACCCCAGACCCAGCAAGCAGAGCUGCGGAAGUCACUGACGAUGUAUUAAUCACAUUUAAAAAAAGGAAUAUACCCAAGGGCUAGAAGAACUCCUUAAAGGAAACCACCAGCGACUGCUUUUUGUUUCUCUAAGGCAGACUGUACUCCCAGAUUUAUUUUCUGCGCUCUGUGAGGGUCUUUCCCCGACGAGGAGAGUAAACCAUCACUUAAGGGGCAGACAUCCGAGUGGUCAAGCACAGGCAACCUUAACCACUAGGCUAACCACCCUCCUCUCAACAUUCUAUGAUGAUUCCCAACAAUUACAGACACGUGAGAGACAACUGUGAACAUCUGAACUCAGACUGGACACCAAGUGGUAUCAAGAAAAUACUGUUUCUUUUCAAAUGGGAUCACUGACUUACAGCUGUGUUUUUCCAAUGUCUUUUUCUGGGAGAGAUAGAUUCUGAAGUGUGUAUGGAUGUCUUGUGAUUUGUUACAACAUAAUCCAGUAGAGAGGUGGAGGAGGCAGAUGAAAUACACUGGCUGUAUGUUAUUUAGUGUUGGAACUGAGAGAUGGAUAGACAGAAACAUCACACGGACCCCUCUUUUGUACAUACUUGCAAAUGCCCACAACUAAAAAAAAAGUAAACAUUAAAAAAGACAGGCUUGUUAUAAUUAAUUGGAAAACUCUCUAGGAGAUGGUGGACAAAAAAGCAAGA